rnacentral:misc_RNA from 1 species
GAUGAAGAACGUAGUGAAAUGCGAUAAGUAAUGUGAAUUGCAGAAUUCAGUGAAUCAUCGAAUCUUUGAACGCACAUUGCGCCCACCAGUAUUCUGGCGGGCAUGCCUGUUCGAGCGUCAUUACAACCCUCAGGCCCCCGGGCCUGGCGUUGGGGAUCGGCGGAAGCCCCCUGCGGGCACAACGCCGUCCCCCAAAUACAGUGGCGGUCCCGCCGCAGCUUCCAUUGCGUAGUAGCUAACACCUCGCAACUGGAGAGCGGCGCGGCCACGCCGUAAAACACCCAACUUCUGAAUGUUGACCUCGAAUCAGGUAGGAAUACCCGCUGAACUUAAGCAUAUCAAUAAGCGGAGGA